UGUUUGGGACGGCCCGCCCGAGAGAUGAUUGUUAGGCGAGCUUUGUUUGUAGUUGACAGCCGUACACCCACCCUGUAUUAGACAAAUGACAAUCAACAAACAAAUCUGGUAUCGAAGCAGCAAUUUGAGGUAUAAUCAUCCGCAUAUGUAGGAGUUGAUGAUAAUGAUUUGUAGGCUUUUGAGUGUUAUGGACGGAAUCAGUGGUUUAAUUUCAAAUUGGAUGAAACCCAACAGACAAACGACGACAAAUAGUUCACUGACCGUAGUGGCCUAGGAUCACAAUCUUAUCAUGCAAUCCGCAAAAUAACAUUUUCAUACAAUACAAAGCGUAUUGGCCCAGUAAUGGGCUAUCUUUGUUGAUUAGAUAUUACAUGAAUGAUGCCGAUGGUUUAGAACUUGCAGCAGACGCCCCGACGGAAACUAAUAUGUAUCAAACUGCCUUCAAACAAACCAUGUUGUUGAACGGUACGAUACGGCUCUGGUGUACCAACCAUUUGCCUAAAAUUAUGUAUCUCCCUCGGUAAUGUAGAACAGGUUCGACGAGUUCUUCAUUGAGAUGGCAACCUAAAAUAAGUAAAAAAUGAGUUAUUUUGAAAUAAAUGAAUGACGUUUGCAGCA